CUUUUAAGUGACUGACGCACUGAUCUACAGAGUAGGAUGCCAGCCUGGGGGGCCCCUCUAUAUGCCUGAUGCGCUGAACAGAGAAGGACCCCAGGCAAGGGACCCUGCUAAGUGCCUGAACGGGCAGAGCUAUGGAGAAAGACCGCCCAAAAAGGCCUAAUUGCCAGCUACAAGAGGCUUCUCUGUCAGGGGGUGUUCUCCAGGCAAGAACAGGAGUGUAUUGGCCAAUACUGGUUGCCGUAUCUUUCUAGAGAGCUAUAUUUCCUGCUGCCAUACCCGCCAACUCCCCCGAGUACCUGAUGCUGCCAGAACCCCUAUGACCCAAGCAGCUGCACCACCUCCACACCUGGCCCUCACUGGGGCAGACCCAAGUCCUCCAGGGCAGCCUCAGGAGCAAACCCCAGUGGACGACCCACAUAAAAAAAUAAAAGGUGCAAAUAAAACUACAGUUGGAACCCAGGGGUAGUACAGGUAAGAAGACCCAAAACCAUCCCACCAACUGUACAAGCUGCAGAUUAAAUCCACAUGAUCAACUAGGCACACUCUAUGUCUAUGGAAUAUAUAAAAGGAAGCCGAGAGCCCCCAUGAAAGAAAACGCACUAGUUCUGAUAGCUGUGGACAUUGGAGGCAAGAACACAUGGAGUAGGACCAGACUAGAAUCUGGGCUGCCCCCACCGCAAGUCCAGAGCACAGUGUUGGAGGGCAUCCUAGGCAGGCAAGGUGGACUGUGACUCCCAGAGAGGGAAAGGGCUGACAGCAGUGACUCAGGAAAAACGUUUAUUAUUCUUACGUUUUGACUUGUUCUGUACAUUCUUUUGUUCUUUUUUUUCUUUUCAUUUUAUUCCCCCUCUGUUGUAGUUGUUGAUUUUCCUGGAAAUAUGAAAUACAGUUAAGCUUUUGAACUUUUUUUUUCCCCUCAGUUACAUUUUUUAUUGUUGUUAUAAACCUCUGGCUUUUGCAUCUCUGUGGGGUUUUCCUUUUUUUUUUUUAAUCUUCCUUUCUCUUUUUUUAAUUUUAAUUUUUUAAACCUGUUAUUAUUUUUUCUACAUUUAUUCCUUUGUUUGCUUUCACUACUGUUCUUUUCCUCUUGCAGUUAAUCUUUAACGUAUUUAUAUCUUCUUUAUCCACCUAUAUCUAACUUUGCAUAUCUAGUUUUUCUUUUCUUACUCCCCUUUCCUCUCAACAUAUUUGUUUUGUUUUCAUUGCUUUAUUCCCCAAUUGGCACCUUGCUUUAGUUUUGUUUUCCACCUUGUGCUUUAGUUAAUUUUGUUCUGGUAGAUAUAAUUUUUGGUUUCCUUUGUUCACUGGAUCAAUCUAUUGUACUUUAAUUUUGUUGGACUGUUUUUUGCUUAUAGGAGUAUAUGUAUAUGUGAAUAUUCAGCCACAUUUUUUAUUGUUAUAAACCUCUGCCUUUAUGUUGGGCUUUCUUGAAGCUCCGUGGAGUUUUCCUUUUUUCUUCCAUUUUUUUCUUUCCUUUUUUUAAUAAUUUUAAUUAAAAAAUUUUUU
rnacentral:lncRNA from 1 species